rnacentral:rRNA from 1 species
UACGGAAGGCAGCAGUGGGGAAUAUUGCACAAUGGGCGCAAGCCUGAUGCAGCCAUGCCGCGUGUAUGAAGAAGGCCUUCGGGUUGUAAAGUACUUUCAGCGGGGAGGAAGGCGGUGAAGUUAAUAGCUUCACCGAUUGACGUUACCCGCAGAAGAAGCACCGGCUAACUCCGUGCCAGCAGCCGCGGUAAUACGGAGGGUGCAAGCGUUAAUCGGAAUUACUGGGCGUAAAGCGCACGCAGGCGGUCUGUCAAGUCGGAUGUGAAAUCCCCCGGGCUUAACCUGGGAACUGCAUUCGAAACUGGCAGGCUAGAGUCUUGUAGAGGGGGUAGAAUUCCAGGUGUAGCGGUGAAAUGCGUAGAGAUCUGGAGGAAUACCGGUGGCGAAGGCGGCCCCUGGACAAGACUGACGCUCAGGGUGCGAAAGCGUGGGGAGCAAACGAGGAUUAGGAUACC